CGCGGCCGUGUGUAGGCAGCGGAGCGGCUGCGGAGCGGCGGCGGCGGUGGCGUCGGGAGCCCCGGCCCCGCGAUAAAAGGGAAGGGGCCGGGCGGCGGGCGGCGCGCGUUGCGGCACUGGGGGGAGCGUGGCCGGGAAGGAGGGAGGGAGCGAAGGAGCCGCCUCCCGCAGGAAUCCCGGGCAGGCGGCAGUAGCAGCGGCGGCAGCCGGGACGCGCGGCUCCCCCUGCCUGCGCGGCGGCAGGAGGCGGGUGAGCAUCGAGGAGCAGCCGCCGCCUCAUCCUGCGGCAGCGGCCGGCGCUGCCCGGCGAGCGCAGGUGGCAGUGUAGAAGCCAAGAACAAAAAUUGGCAGAAAUUAUAUUCUGUAUACGAGAGAAUGAAGAGUAUACUCAUGACUAAGCACAGGAACCUGGAAAACCACAGGAUUCCUGGGAAGCCACGGAGGAUGGGGUGAACUCAGAGCUGGAGCAUGAGGAGUUCUUUGGAACUUGUGAAUGGGAAGUUAUCCUGGCUUUGGUCAGGUGAUCCACAGUGACCGGUCAGCCCACCAAGAAGAUACCUCAGCAACCAGGUCUUUGAAGUGACCAUUGGUUUCAGUUGUGAUAGUUUGGCUGUUCUCGAAGACUUCUAGAAGACACUGACAGAAAUGAAGCAGGUUGGCACAUUGGCAUAAACACAGGUAUGGCAGAGGCAGCGGGCACCAGGCCAGAACCUGUCCCGCCAGACACUGUCCAGCCAGAACGGGGAACUUCAGCUGAUGCAGGAGCUCCUGAGCGGGUGUUGACUUCUUGUUCACAGGCAUCUCUGGAGGUGUUCCUGAAGCAUGUAGCUGUGGUACUUACGGAUGUGGUUUAGUGGUUGAUAUAUUGGUGAUAGGUGGGCAGUUGGACUAGGUGAUCUUAGAGGUCUUUUCCAACCGUAAUGAUUCUAUGAUUCUAAAGUACUCCCACCUCAGGUUACCCAAGAGAUCCUCUGCUUUCUUCUUCCCCCAACACGUCUGUGGGACAUUGCAGCAGCUGCGGAAUUCUCAUCAGAAACAAGUGUUGUGUCCCUCUGAGAAUCAUGUCCCUGAGGCCCAUGGUUCACCAGUCAGCUGACUUCCACAGCACGCUGGAUAUGAGUCCUUUCUGCACAGAUUUUUGCUGGGCACAUGCAGGGGACUUAGUAUGGGAAAGAUCUGGACUUGUUUAGGGGGAGGAAUUGAUUCCAAAUGAUGUCUUGCUUUAGGUUUAUGGUGUUUUUCAGACAAUGAAUUAAAUACUGUUUUCUCCAUACUAGAGGCUUGGAAGCAACAUCUCUCUAACUUUUUAGUUACCAGAAUCAGUGCUUUCUUACUUAGUACAAGGAAACACAUGUCCUUGGUUAUCUAUCCAGCUAAUAAUUAAUAAUGCUUGGUUGUUUUUCCCCCCAUGUAUCUAUGCUGACCUCUUUAGAAAGAGAUUUUAUAUUCUGAGCCCCUUAUGUAUUUUUCCAUAUCACGUAUUUGAAUGAUUAUUCCAAAGUGCAAAACCUCCAGUGUCUAGCACACAAUUUUCCAAUACUUCAUCUUACCCUCACAGGAAAGGACAAUUAAAGAAAUAUUGAGUGUUUUUCUGUUUGCAUUUUUCAUUAAAUAGGUUUUCUUAACUAGAAUGUCAGAGUAUCUGUGUUAGUGAAGCGUGUCUUCCAUGUGCUUUCAUCCUCAAGGUAGCUCCAACUGACAAAAUUACAUGGGGACUAACACCUACUUUUCAUUAUUGGCAGUAGUUUGCUUACAGCUGGACCAAAAGGGCACCUAACAGAUUAAGCUAG
rnacentral:lncRNA from 1 species